GACGAACGCUGGCGGCGUGCUUAACACAUGCAAGUCGAACGGAAAGGCCUGCUUUCCCUUGUGGAUUGCGGGUACUCGAGUGGCGAACGGGUGAGUAACACGUGAGUGAUCUGCCCCCAACUUGGGUAUAAGCCUGGGAAACUGGGUCUAAUUCCCGAUAGGACUGCAGGGUGGUGCCUGUGGUGGAAAACGAUUUUCUAGUGGUUGGGGAUGAGCUCGCGGCCUAUCAGCUUGUUGGUGGGGUAAUGGCCUACCAAGGCGGCGACGGGUAGCCGGCCUGAGAGGGUGGACGGCCACAUUGGGACUGAGAUACGGCCUAGACUCCUACGGGAGGCAGCAGUGGGGAAUAUUGCACAAUGGGCGGAAGCCUGAUGCAGCGACGCCGCGUGGGGGAUGACGGCCUUCGGGUUGCAAACUCCUUUCGACCGCGAGGAAGCCACCUGGUUGGAAGGGUGGUGACGGUAGUGGUAGAAGAAGCACCGGCUAACUACGU
rnacentral:rRNA from 1 species